UCCCUGGCAGUCCAGCGGUUAGGACUUCUCACUUCCACUGCAGGGGUUUUAGGUUCAAUCCCUGGUCAGGGAA
rnacentral:tRNA from 1 species